CCUACGGGAGGCAGCAGUGAGGAAUAUUGGUCAAUGGGCGCAAGCCUGAACCAGCCAAGUCGCGUGAGGGAUGACUGUCCUAUGGAUUGUAAACCUCUUUUGUCGGGGAGUAAGGCCCGCCACGUGUGGCUGUAAGGAGAGUACCCGAAGAAAAAGCAUCGGCUAACUCCGUGCCAGCAGCCGCGGUAAUACGGGGGAUGCGAGCGUUGUCCGGAUUUUUUGGUUUAAAGGGGGGCGAGGGGGGAAGUUUAAGUCAGCGGUAAAAUGUCGGGCCUAAACACAGGCCUGCCGUUGAUACUGGUAGUCUUGAGUAAGGGAGAGGUAUGCGGAAUGCGUGGUGUAGCGGUGAAAUGCAUAGAUAUCACGAAGAACUCCGAUUGCGAAGGCAGCAUACCGGCGCUCAACUGACGCUGAGGCACGAAAGCGUGGGGAUCGAACAGGAUUAGAUACCCCUGUAGUC
rnacentral:rRNA from 1 species